CCUACGGGAGGCAGCAGUGGGGAAUUUUGGACAAUGGACGCAAGUCUGAUCCAGCCAUGCCGCGUGCGGGAAGAAGGCCUUCGGGUUGUAAACCGCUUUUGUCAGGGAAGAAACGGCUUUCUCUAAUACAGAGAGCUAAUGACGGUACCUGAAGAAUAAGCACCGGCUAACUACGUGCCAGCAGCCGCGGUAAUACGUAGGGUGCAAGCGUUAAUCGGAAUUACUGGGCGUAAAGCGUGCGCAGGCGGUUAUGCAAGACAGAGGUGAAAUCCCCGGGCUCAACCUGGGAACUGCCUUUGUGACUGCAUAGCUAGAGUACGGUAGAGGGGGAUGGAAUUCCGCGUGUAGCAGUGAAAUGCGUAGAUAUGCGGAGGAACACCGAUGGCGAAGGCAAUCCCCUGGACCUGUACUGACGCUCAUGCACGAAAGCGUGGGGAGCAAACAGGAUUAGAUACCCUGGUAGUCCACGCCCUAAACGAUGUCAACUGGUUNUUGGGAGGGUUUCUUCUCAGUAACGAAGCUAACGCGUGAAGUUGACCGCCUGGGGAGUACGGCCGCAAGGUUGAAACUCGAAANAGAGUAGACGCGUGAGACGNGACGACGGACGACGACGAGGGAGGAGG
rnacentral:rRNA from 1 species